UUGAGUUUAAUAUCACUAAUCACACGGGGACAGUUAUUUUUUGCUCUUGCUCAGCUUCUCUUCCACAUGCGAGCACACACACCACACACACACACUCAUGCUGCAUCCCUCCCGUUCUUUUGCACUUAAGUCCAGAUUAGCUCUGACCAUUCCCGCAUGCAAGCAGAGAGCGACAACACCACGGUGCCUAAGACCAUAGAAACUGCCACAGAGGUGGGGGCAGAGAUCGUCUUCAAGGUUGCUGUCAUCUGGAAUUUUAUGUCCUUCAUUUUCUUUCACUCCGUAUGCCUGUCACAUCGGCUUAACUAACAGAGAAGACCCUCUUUGCUUGAAAACCUGCUUGGUUUCUUCCAUACGAUUAGCUGAUAUAAAGAAAGAAGAUGCAACUCCCUACAGUCCUGAGCAGUACUCUGCAAGUCAUCUUGGAGACAGGAAAGACCUUGGAGCUUUCUGGGAAGAAUGUUAUUUUGUUUUUAUUUCUGCAGUCCAAGCCGUGUAAUUAAUACUGCACAAGCACAGAUAUGCAUAACUCUUA